UACGUAGGGUGCGAGCGUUGUCCGGAAUUAUUGGGCGUAAAGAGCUUGUAGGCGGUCUGUCGCGUCUGCUGUGAAAAUCCGGGGCUCAACCCCGGACGUGCAGUGGGUACGGGCAGACUAGAGUGUGGUAGGGGAGACUGGAAUUCCUGGUGUAGCGGUGAAAUGCGCAGAUAUCAGGAGGAACACCGAUGGCGAAGGCAGGUCUCUGGGCCACUACUGACGCUGAGAAGCGAAAGCAUGGGGAGCGAACAGG
rnacentral:rRNA from 1 species